rnacentral:lncRNA from 1 species
GUCAAUGUCAGUACUGUCAUUCUUCGCUUACGUCAACAACCCGCAACCCGGUGCAGAAUCACAUUUGACAUUAGUGUUCCAUUUAAAAUAAUUAAUUCCUGCAGCCGUAAAACUUUUAUUUAGUGCCAAGACCACGAAUUGAAAGCUCAGUGUGUCAUUACUUCUUGAGUGCAACAAAAGUUUACACGUGCAGUUUGUUCGUCCACAAUUUCACACAGUAAAAAGUUGGGUUGACCAAGUGAUUGGAAAAAAUAUAAGGAAAAUGGAAAUUGUCAAGAGAAUCCAGCAAUUCAUCAGCUACUGGUACGUUCGGUACCUACUGGUUACUGAACUGUACAUGGUUGAAACCUGGGAGAAGGUUAUAGUGCAUAUCUUAUUCGCCAUAAUCUUCGGCCUGUUCUGGUAUUUCAACUACUCCAUCAUCAUGAGUGGCAUCUCUCAACUCCGCAGCUCAACAUCACAUGAUGUCGAACAAGUUUUAUGAGCAACCAUCAACUAUAGUUAUGAACUCAAGUUAUUGCUAAAUUAUUAUCUUAAUAAUAUGAUGCUGUAGGAUUAAUUUAAUUAUAUUGUAACCUUUAUUUUAACAUUUUUAUAGAAGACACUGUAAAAUAAUGGUAUCUGUAUUUAAAAAAAGGUAAAACCUGCCAUGUUGCAAAUGAAAGAGAACAAAAAUAUUUGGCAAUGUUUAAGUUAAAAGAUUUCUAUAUUUUUAUACAAAAGAAAAUGAGGGUACUACUUCCUGCAACUGGAUAAAAAGUAGCCUGUAUUUACUUCUGAUGUAUGAGCUAUAUUAAAGACAGUUUCAUUGGUAUCUCUUUAGUCAUUUGCGGGUGAAGGAGUAAAAGAUAGACACACAAUCUUUCGUACAUUUAUAAUAUUACAAUAGUGUGAUUUUUAACUUUAUUGUAAGGAGCAUUGUGACCUUUGGUCUUAAAAAGCUUAUUUGCACACAAAUAUAAGCUUUGAACUUGUAUGCUGCAUUUUUGUGUCUAUCGGUAUUUUCAUAUGUAAAAUGGAACACUAACGGAAUAUUCAGGAAUUCCGCAAAUAUCGAAUAUUGUUAAUAGUUCAUAGCUACUACUAGCAAAUCUAUAAGGUAAGUUAAAAUUAUGAAGUGUAUAAUGGCCCAACCACCUAUUUUUUGUGACAACUACCUGCACGGACGUUUUUUAUACAUAGGUACUACAUACAUAGUAUUCAGAAUGAUAAAGUAUGCACAUAAAUCUAAUGUAAGUUAUUUAAUGCAUCUAAUUUUCAUUCCAUGUUAAUAAUUGUUACCAAAAUAAAUAAUUUUAAUUUAUUCUCUAA